GUUUACCCUGUAUACUGUGGUGCAGCUGAAGGGUUGAGCUUUACCCUGUAUACUGUGGUGCAGCUGAAGGGUGGAGCUUUACCCUGUAUACUGUGGUGCAGCUGAAGGGUGGAGCUUUACCCUGUAUACUGUAGUGCAGCUGAAGGGUGGAGCUUUACCCUGUAUACUGUGACGCAGCUGAAGGGUGGAGCUUUACCCUGUAUACUGUAGUGCAGCUGAAGGGGUGGAGCUUUACCCUGUAUACUGUGGUGCAGCUGAAGGGUGGAGCUUUACCCUGUAUACUGUGGUGCAGCUGGACGGUGGAGCUUUACCCUGUAUACUGUGGUGCAGCUGGACGGUGGAGCUUUACCCUGUAUACUGUAGUGCAGCUGGAGGGUGGAGCUUUACCCUGUGGUGCAGCUGAAGGUGGAGGUUGCCUCUCUGAAUGCUGUAGUGUAGAUGAAGGGAGGAGGUUUAUACUGUUUUGAGGUGUAUUUGGCAUCGUACUACAUAAAUG
ensembl:lncRNA